rnacentral:misc_RNA from 1 species
CCCUGUAAACGCGAAAAGUCACGUGGUACAGCUUCCCCCUUGUAAGCACGGAGGUUCGCUCCUUCCGUCUGGCAUCGUGUUGUCGUCGACAGACGACGCCCGCCAUUCGUUGCUGAUGAGCCGCAUCCGCUGCUUGUGGCGCCCUCUAGCCUUAGUGACGUGCAGGAAAUCCGUAAGUCUUAAGAUGUGUUUUUUUGAAAUAGUUUUUGUAGAGAAGGAAGUGAAUUGUUUGCCACGUGAUGAGAUAAGAUCUCAACCCACUGAGCGCGAUCUCAUCAGAUUCAAGCGCCAUCUUGGUGUCGUGGAGCAGUGAGCGCCCUCUGGUGGCAGCCACCCACAGUGUCACCCGAGUGUCACACACAGACACACACACACUCACGCUCUCAUACUCACGAUGACAAGACAGAGGCUACGUCACGUGACCUACCUGUGGCUGCUGGCCAGGCUGCUCUGCGUUCAGUGUGACGUCACGACAGGUUACCUGGAGACACGACUGGUUGACCAAGUCACCUGCACUUAUCACAAUGAGUCGCUGAUUGUUCUGAAGCUGCAAGACACAGCGACUGGCACCACGGUCUGGUACAACACACACUCACACGCCUGCGGCAGCAACUUCUCUUUCUCCGGGUGUUCACCUUCGUCUGACUACGUCAGUGUCAAGGCCGUCAUCACUGACCUCCAGUCCCACCCACGAGGUACCCGAGUCCUGACAUGUCAGGCUGUGCUUCUGCAAGGCCAGGGUGUCGUGACUAAACACUUGGGCAGUGUCACAGUCACACGACAGGAUGCAACAUCCACUGGGCCUGACACCACCCUGACAUCCGGUACCCAGACUCUGACCACGGGUAGCGCCGUCACUGCAGGUCCUGUUGAUGAGACAAAUACAUCUGGCACAUCAGGCAGGUCCAGCAGCGCUGAUCAAAGAUUCUCUGACACGCCUGACACACCUGACACACCAGGUGAUACUACUGGUAGUCAAGGACAACAUGACACACCUGACACACGUGACACACCAGGUGAUGCUACUGGUAGUCAAGGACAACACGACACGCCUGACACGUCACCACUGACGGUGUGGAUGCUGGGUGCGCUGAGUGCGGGGCUGGUGCUGCUGGUCGCCCUUGCUGCGCUGCUGGCUGUUAAACUGAAACGAGAGAAGCGGAACUCUGAGACCCGGAUGUACCUCAUACCCGAGUCGCUGCCCCUGCAUAACUCCCGCCUGCCUGUGACCAGGAACAGUUACCUCCCCGCUGUUUGCGCCUUCUCUCCUCCCCAUGUCCGCCAAACACCUUCCGUCCCCCCAAUAUCGUCCCGCCAACGCCACCUGCGGCACCCAGACGUCUGUCCCCUGCGACCACGCGAGGUCUACCUCACCCCGAGCAUCCCGAAAUUCUUGCCCCCUGACCUCUGACCAUCGUGUUCAGUCCCACAACCCCUACACUGAGCGCGGGCUCACAGAGGGCGGACAGGGGCGCUGAGUCGCCAACAGAUCCAGCAUCCCUGACGACAGCAGCAGCGGCAUCCACGACACCGACCUCUACAACUCUGUGGCUGACUUCACGGAUGAGUCGGGUGGGAGUGUCGAUUCUGUGUCCACUUAGAGCUUUAUCUGAACACAGUCUACCUGUCCUCACCUGUCACCAGAACUUGUUCUCCACUGACUGAGCUGCUCACAAGAUGAACUGUCCACAGGCCGACAGUGUGUCCAGGUGUGACUGCAGUGCUGGAGGUGUGCUAGCAGGAUGAAGACAGACAGACAGACAGACAGACAGACAGACAGACAGACAGACAGACAGACAGACAGACAGACAGACAGACAGACAGACAGCCCACCUGACCAUCCUACUCUUACCAUGUGGAGGUUUCAGCAGUGGCAGACCUGUCUUAUGUUCAUCUUGUGUUCCUGUGAUGUUGACUUGUGCCAGUGAGCAUCGCCUCCUAAGUGACAACGAAAAAUAAACAAAGGAAUAAACAGAUGGUGGAGGAACAAAGGAAGAGAGAGAGAGGAAAAAAAGUACAAGGAACAGUCUUUAGUAACAUUCACGCGCGCACACAUAUGCACGGACACAGACAGAUACGCACACACGCACACAUAGAGACGCACGCACACACACGCACGCGCGCACACACACACACACACACACACACACACACACACACACACGCGCACACACACACACACACACACACACACACACACACUGUAACACCAUUGUGUAGGAAUAUUCGGGAUGCAGUUCGUGAUGAAGAGAGAGAGAGAAAAUAUGUUCAUCGCAAUUACGUUAUGAUUUGUCUAUGAAUUGUUAAAAUAAACUAAUAUUGCAAAUAGUGUGUUAGAUGUCUGUGUGUGUAUGCAUACCCUUGUGAGCAAAACAAAAAUUUCUGU